GACAGAGGGUGCAAACGUUGUUCGGAAUUACUGGGCGUAAAGCGCGUGUAGGCGGCCCUGCAAGUCGGAUGUGAAAUCCCACGGCUCAACCGUGGAAGUGCAUUCGAAACUGCAGGGCUAGAGUCCUGGAGAGGAAGGUGGAAUGCUUGGUGUAGAGGUGAAAUUCGUAGAUAUCAAGCGGAACACCGGUGGCGAAGGCGGCCUUCUGGACAUUGACUGACGCUGAGACGCGAAAGCGUGGGGAGCAAACAGG
rnacentral:rRNA from 1 species